CUAGCUACAGGCUUAACACACGCAGGUCGAGGGGCAGCACGGUCUUAGCUUUGCUAAGGCCGAUGGCGACCGGCGCACGGGUGAGUAACACGUAUCCAACCUGCCGUCUACUCUUGGACAGCCUUCUGAAAGGAAGAUUAAUACAAGAUGGCAUCAUGAGUCCGCAUGUUCACAUGAUUAAAGGUAUUCCGGUAGACGAUGGGGAUGCGUUCCAUUAGAUAGUAGGCGGGGUAACGGCCCACCUAGUCUUCGAUGGAUAGGGGUUCUGAGAGGAAGGUCCCCCACAUUGGAACUGAGACACGGUCCAAACUCCUACGGGAGGCAGCAGUGAGGAAUAUUGGUCAAUGGGCGAGAGCCUGAACCAGCCAAGUAGCGUGAAGGAUGACUGCCCUAUGGGUUGUAAACUUCUUUUAUAAAGGAAUAAAGUCGGGUAUGGAUACCCGUUUGCAUGUACUUUAUGAAUAAGGAUCGGCUAACUCCGUGCCAGCAGCCGCGGUAAUACGGAGGAUCCGAGCGUUAUCCGGAUUUAUUGGGUUUAAAGGGAGCGUAGAUGGAUGUUUAAGUCAGUUGUGAAAGUUUGCGGCUCAACCGUAAAAUUGCAGUUGAUACUGGAUAUCUUGAGUGCAGUUGAGGCAGGCGGAAUUCGUGGUGUAGCGGUGAAAUGCUUAGAUAUCACGAAGAACUCCGAUUGCGAAGGCAGCCUGCUAAGCUGCAACUGACAUUGAGGCUCGAAAGUGUGGGUAUCAAACAGGAUUAGAUACCCUGGUAGUCCACACGGUAAACGAUGAAUACUCGCUGUUUGCGAUAUACUGCAAGCGGCCAAGCGAAAGCGUUAAGUAUUCCACCUGGGGAGUACGCCGGCAACGGUGAAACUCAAAGGAAUUGACGGGGGCCCGCACAAGCGGAGGAACAUGUGGUUUAAUUCGAUGAUACGCGAGGAACCUUACCCGGGCUUAAAUUGCAGAUGAAUUACGGUGAAAGCCGUAAGCCGCAAGGCAUCUGUGAAGGUGCUGCAUGGUUGUCGUCAGCUCGUGCCGUGAGGUGUCGGCUUAAGUGCCAUAACGAGCGCAACCCUUGUUGUCAGUUACUAACAGGUUCCGCUGAGGACUCUGACAAGACUGCCAUCGUAAGAUGUGAGGAAGGUGGGGAUGACGUCAAAUCAGCACGGCCCUUACGUCCGGGGCUACACACGUGUUACAAUGGGGGGUACAGAGGGCCGCUACCACGCGAGUGGAUGCCAAUCCCCAAAACCUCUCUCAGUUCGGACUGGAGUCUGCAACCCGACUCCACGAAGCUGGAUUCGCUAGUAAUCGCGCAUCAGCCACGGCGCGGUGAAUACGUUCCCGGGCCU
rnacentral:rRNA from 1 species